rnacentral:rRNA from 1 species
UACAGAGGUCUCAACCGUUGUUCGGAUUCAUUGGGCGUAAAGGGUGCGUAGGCGGCGGAGUAAGUCAGGUGUGAAAUCUCGGGGCUCAACUCCGAAACUGCAUUCGAUACUGCGGUGCUUGAGGACUGGAGAGGAGACUGGAAUUCAUGGUGUAGCAGUGAAAUGCGUAGAGAUCAUGAGGAAGACCAGUGGCGAAGGCGGGUCUCUGGACAGUUCCUGACACUGAGACACGAAGGCCAGGGGAGCAAACGGG